rnacentral:lncRNA from 1 species
UGUCCUUUUUGAAGGGAGAAAAAGAACAAGUUUGCAGAAAGCACCUGGUUUGGAAUCUCUCUUUUAUUUUAUUCUUUUGUACAUGCUGCACACAUGGAAUCUCAUAUCUAGUUUGCAAGGAACUAGCUACAAAAAUCACCGGCUCCUGUCACAGAUUACGUUUUGGAUUACAUGCAAGGAAGUGAUCACAUAUUUAUUUCUUUAAGCACAAUGCAUCACAGUUUUGAGUUAGCAAAGUUACUUUGUAGGAACAUUUUAAGCUAUUAUUUGAAAGGUCAUGGUGGGGAUAUUUUCUGGUUCUAUGACUCGCUUUUCUCAAUGACCUGCAAAGUGAUGCAAUGGAUCUUCUAAUGUGUAUGGCUGAACACAGGGGGCGAAUAUCAUAAUGGAAAGAGGUGCUAAGAGGCCACCAUUUGACCACUGGAAAAGGGGCGCAAAGAGACCUCCUUUUGACCAUUGGAACAUCAGGUGGGCCAGCAGGAAGGAGACAGCUUUUAAGAAAGUACGCUGGGAGACAGCAAGAGACAAACUGCUGUGCCCAAGGAGGAAGGUUGAAAUUAUUGAGAGACCUCUUGAUGGAGCCCCUACAGAACUGUCAAGUACUUCUUUCCAUCAAGUCCUCUGAGGAACAUCUGCAAAACAGAGACAUUGAGGAGCAGCCGAGAUCCUCCACAAUCUUGGGGACGAAUAUCAGAAUGGAAAGAGGCGCUAAGAGGCCACGCUUUGACCACUGGAGUCUAAGAUGGGCCAGCAGGAAGGAAAACAAUUUUAACAAACAACGCAGGGAGACAGCAAGAGACAAACUGCUGUGCCCAAGGAGGAAGGACUUGAAGGAUGAAGGAAAAUGCCCUCUCUCCCCUCUCACCUGUAAACCCCAUGUUCUUCCUCUCCCCAACCCAAAUCCUGCUCUUCCCCCUCUAUCCAAUCCCCAAACCCCUCUUGUCCCUUGGUCCAACUCACCCCCUGCUCUUUCACUUCUGCCCUUACCCUUGUUCCGGCUUCUCCCCCUACUUCGAGAGGAGUGCCAUCUCCCAAAUCUACCAGCUGAGGUAACUUCCCAACGAUUUCAAACCCCCUCUAGUGCAGUGGUCCCCAACCUUUUUGGGACAGCAAACUGGUUGGGGUGGUUGGGCUCCGUGCGGGGUUGUGUGUUGCCCUCGCCCCCCCCUCGAGCAAGCAAGGGGUGGGGGGACUGUGGGGCGGAGAUCCAUCUCCACAGCCCAGUUCCAGGAAGGCCACGGACUGGCACCAGGCCACGGACUGGGGGUUGGGGACCCCAGCUUUAG